GGAAUCCAAGGUUGUAAUUACAAAGAAUUGGGUUAAAUUUCGAUCUACAAAGAACAUCAACGGAGUUGGACGUUUAACCAUUUUGGUUACAUUUACCCCACUCCGGCCCCCUCCCUCUUCCUCUUAGGAGAAGUUUGAUUAGUACUGCCUCUGACCACAGCAACAUCUACAUUGGAAAUUAUAGCUCCUAUAUUUCAAUUAAAAAUAAAAGAAAAAACUACAACAAUAACACUGACGGACCACUGUUGUAGAAUAGAAGGAUGUAGGUAAUUAAAGGUAAUGCAACCCUUCCUCCUCUCAUGAGACCCAAUAUCUUCCUCUUUUCAUUUCUCCACUUUUCA
rnacentral:misc_RNA from 1 species